CACCUGUACCCAUGCCGAACACAGUAGUUAAGCUCGUAAACGCCGAAAGUACUUGGCUGGAAACGGCCCGGGAGCAUAGGUAGCUGCUGAUU
rnacentral:rRNA from 1 species